GUACUUCUCGGAAGUGCAUAUAAAAUUGAAACGAUACAGAGAAAAAUCAGCGUGGCCCCCGCGCAAAGAUGACACGCGAGAUCGUGAAGCGUUCCAAAUUUUU